rnacentral:rRNA from 1 species
AAGACGGUCUUGCUGUCACUUAUAGAUGGAUCCGCGCUGCAUUAGCUAGUUGGUAAGGUAACGGCUUACCAAGGCAACGAUGCAUAGCCGACCUGAGAGGGUGAUCGGCCACACUGGAACUGAGACACGGUCCAGACUCCUACGGGAGGCAGCAGUAGGGAAUCUUCCGCAAUGGGCGAAAGCCUGACGGAGCAACGCCGCGUGAGUGAUGAAGGUCUUCGGAUCGUAAAACUCUGUUAUUAGGGAAGAACAUAUGUGUAAGUAACUGUGCACAUCUUGACGGUACCUAAUCAGAAAGCCACGGCUAACUACGUGCCAGCAGCCGCGGUAAUACGUAGGUGGCAAGCGUUAUCCGGAAUUAUUGGGCGUAAAGCGCGCGUAGGCGGUUUUUUAAGUCUGAUGUGAAAGCCCACGGCUCAACCGUGGAGGGUCAUUGGAAACUGGAAAACUUGAGUGCAGAAGAGGAAAGUGGAAUUCCAUGUGUAGCGGUGAAAUGCGCAGAGAUAUGGAGGAACACCAGUGGCGAAGGCGACU